rnacentral:rRNA from 1 species
UACGGAGGGGGCUAGCGUUGUUCGGAAUUACUGGGCGUAAAGCGCACAUAGGCGGCUUGGUAAGUUAGAGGUGAAAGCCUGGAGCUCAACUCCAGAAUUGCCUUUAAGACUGCCGAGCUAGCAGGUGAGAGAGGUGAGUGGAAUUCCGAGUGUAGAGGUGAAAUUCGUAGAUAUUCGGAAGAACACCAGUGGCGAAGGCGGCUCACUGGCUCAUACUGGACGCUGAGGUGCGAAAGCGUGGGGAGCAAACAGG